rnacentral:misc_RNA from 1 species
UUGAUACGCCGUAAGAAAAAUACAGCCUCUCUUCCAUCAAUCAGCCUGUGAUCAUACGUCAAUGCUAUGUACAUCAUUGGCCUUGGGACUAUGUUGCCCUCAACAACCAUUGGUCGGUUGACGAUAGAGUGCAUGCCCAAGAUAGCAGACUGGGGAGGGUUGAUAAUUGGUGUACUCAAAAGGCUUCCAUAAACACCACCAUUAGAUAUUGUGAAUGUACCUCCAGCCAUCUCAUCAAUUGAUAUAGAACCAUCAUUUGCUUUCUUAGCUAGAGUGUUGAUCUCCUUCUCUAUCUCCGCAAAGUUCAUACUACCAGCAUCACGGAUAACUGGAACAACAAGACCCUUUGGAGUGCCAACAGCAAUGCUAAUAUCAAUGUAAUCUCUAUAUAUGAUAUCAUCUCCAUCAAUGACAGCAUUUACAACUGGUUGGUACUGAAGUGCGCUAACUGCAGCUUUGACAAAUCCUGACAUAAAUCCCAAUUUCACUCCAUGUUUUUCCACAAAUGCAUCUUUAUAAUCAGAGCGGAGCUUCAUCAAGUUUGUCAUAUCAACC